rnacentral:rRNA from 1 species
CGCUGGCGGCACGCCUAACACAUGCAAGUCGAACGAAGUAGCAAUACUUAGUGGCAGACGGGUGAGUAACAUGUAGGUAUCUGCCCUUUGGCCUGGAAUAACACGAGGAAACUUGUGCUAAUACCGGAUAAGUCUUUACGGAGAAAGCUUUAUGCACCAUUGGAUGAGCCUGCACUUGAUUAGUUUGUUGGUGGGGUAAUGGCCUACCAAGACUGUGAUCAAUAGCUGAUUUGAGAGGAUGAUCAGCCACAUUGGGACUGAGACACGGCCCAAACUCCUACGGGAGGCAGCAGUGGGGAAUCUUGCACAAUGGAGGAAACUCUGAUGCAGCGAUGCCGCGUGAGUGAAGAAGGCCUUUGGGUUGUAAAGCUCUUUCGUCGGGGAAGAAAAUGACUGUACCCGAAUAAGAAGGUCCGGCUAACUUCGUGCCAGCAGCCGCGGUAAUACGAAGGGACCUAGCGUAGUUCGGAAUUACUGGGCUUAAAGAGUUCGUAGGUGGUUGAAAAAGUUGGUGGUGAAAUCCCAGAGCUUAACUCUGGAACUGCCAUCAAAACUUUUCAGCUAGAGUAUGAUAGAGGAAAGCAGAAUUUCUAGUGUAGAGGUGAAAUUCGUAGAUAUUAGAAAGAAUACCAAUUGCGAAGGCAGCUUUCUGGAUCAUUACUGACACUGAGGAACGAAAGCAUGGGUAGCGAAGAGGAUUAGAUACCCUCGUAGUCCAUGCCGUAAACGAUGUGUGUUAGACGUUGGAAAUUUAUUUUCAGUGUCGCAGCGAAAGCGAUAAACACACCGCCUGGGGAGUACGACCGC